AUGGCUUCUCAGUCUUUUGGCUAAGAUCAAGUGUAGUAUCUGUUCUUAUCAAUUUAACACUCUUUCUCAUUACCUGAAACUCUU
ensembl:snRNA U2 U2 spliceosomal RNA